rnacentral:rRNA from 1 species
AAUGAAUGUUGGCGGCGUGGAUUAGGCAUGCAAGUCGAGCGAACAGAGGGGGCUUGCCCCCGAAGUGAGCGGCGAAAGGGAGAGCAAUAUAUGGAUUAUCUGCCCUCAGGAUCGGGAUAGCUACGGGAAACUGUAGGUAAUACCGAAUAAUAUCUCCGGAUCAAAGGUGAGAUUCCGCCUGAGGAUGAGUUCAUAUCCUAUUAGCUUGUUGGUGGGGUAAUGGCCUACCAAGGCUAAGAUGGGUACCGGGCGUGAGAGCGUGACCCGGCUCACUGGGACUGAGACACUGCCCAGACACCUACGGGUGGCUGCAGUCGAGAAUCUUCGGCAAUGGACGAAAGUCUGACCGAGCGACGCCGCGUGCGGGACGAAGGCCUUCGGGUUGUAAACCGCUGUCAAGUUGGAGGAAAUGCGUGGGGGUCAUCCCCUGCGUUUGACCGAUAGCAAAAGGAAGGACGGGCUAAGUUCGUGCCAGCAGCCGCAGUAAAAC